UACAGAGGGGGCAAGCGUUGUUCGGAAUUACUGGGCGUAAAGGGCGCGUAGGCGGCCUGUUAAGUCGAACGUGAAAUCCCCGGGCUCAACCCGGGAACUGCGUCCGAUACUGGCAGGCUUGAAUCCGGGAGAGGGAUGUGGAAUUCCAGGUGUAGCGGUGGAAUGCGCAGAUAUCAGGAGGAACACCGAUGGCGAAGGCAGAUCUCUGGGCCGUAACUGACGCUGAGGAGCGAAAGCGUGGGGAGCGAACAGG
rnacentral:rRNA from 1 species